UUUUAAAUGUAGGUUGGUUUUAGAGGAUAAUAUCGUUAUGAACUUGUAUCCGGUGUUUACUUUUUCGGAAAAUCGAAAGAUUUGCCCCCACGCUUAUGUUCUUUCAGAAAAGAUAUCCAUGGAACAAAUCAUCUGAAAAAUAAGAGAGGAUGAAAAAUACUUCUGUUAAAAAGUUGAAGUAACUGAUGAGCAGAUCAAUCCAACUUGAACAUGAUAUCAUUUCUCCAAGGAUGAAAACAAGUCUCUCUGUACUCAAGCAUUGAUAUUUUUAAAGUCGACUGAAACUGGAACAGGUCAUACAUGCAGACUACAGUGAUGUGUUGCACAGUUCCGAAAACAUGCAGCCACCACUAGCAUAAGCAUGAUAAGUGUAAGUGGGUCAUCAAAAAAUGAGAACUACUCAAGGACUUUUCUGUUGGUUGAUGAUGGACUACAAACUGAAUUUUAAACAAAGGAAUCCACCUUGGUGCUUAUUGGCUACUUUUGAUGUGAACUUGUGCAUUUAUUAUACCAAGUAAUUUUACAUUUCCUUGAUUAUACUAGACUUGCAUAAACCGAAUUCAGGUUUAGUUGAUUUAUUGAAGUAAUGCAGUUCUAAGUUCCUCUCGCAAGAUUAUAUCUCUGAUGUAUGAGACAUCAUUAAUUGCAGAUUUUCUCUGUCCCCCUGUCGUGACUUGAGGGCUCGGACUUAGCUGUAAAAAUGUUUAUGAUGCAAGAGAAAAUAAAUGUU